rnacentral:rRNA from 1 species
UGCGUAGGCGGGGCAAUUAGACAGUGGUGAAAUCCUGCGGCUUAACCGUAGAACUGCCAUUGAUACUGUUGUCCUUGAGUAUAGUUGAGGUGGGCGGAAUGUGUAAUGUAGCGGUGAAAUGCAUAGAGAUUACACAGAACACCAAUUGCGAAGGCAGCUCACUAAGCUAUAACUGACGCUGAGGCACGAAAGCGUGGGGAGCGAACAGGAUUAGAUACCCUGGUAGUCC